rnacentral:rRNA from 1 species
GAUGAACGCUAGCUACAGGCUUAACACAUGCAAGUCGAGGGGCAGCAUGAACAUAGCUUGCUAUGUUUGAUGGCGACCGGCGCACGGGUGCGUAACACGUAUCCAAUCUGCCCGUUACUCGGGGAUAGCCUUCUGAAAGGAAGAUUAAUACCCGAUGGCAUGUAUUUCCGGCAUCGGAGAUACAUUAAAGAUUUAUCGGUAACGGAUGGGGAUGCGUACGAUUAGCUGGUUGGCGGGGUAACGGCCCACCAAGGCGACGAUCGUUAGGGGUUCUGAGAGGAAGGUCCCCCCACACUGGAACUGAGACACGGUCCAGACUCCUACGGGAGGCAGCAGUGAGGAAUAUUGGUCAAUGGUCGAGAGACUGAACCAGCCAAGUAGCGUGAAGGAUGACUGCCCUACGGGUUGUAAACUUCUUUGUUUGGGAAUAAAUGAUACUACGUGUAGUAUUUGCAUGUACCUUACGAAUAAGCAUCGGCUAAUUCCGUGCCAGCAGCCG